GAAGGAAGAAUAUUGGUUCAACCACAGAGAGCACGACCAAUGAAAUUUACUAUCCAGAAUGGAUUUAUAACCUUCUAGAGGAAGGAGAUGACCUACGAAUCCAUAUCGGGGAAGAAGGGGAUGGUAAGAUUCCAAAGCAACUUGCAAUUGUAGGGCUCUGGUGCAUCCAGUGGCACCCGGUGGAUCGUCCUUCCAUGACAACUGUUGUUCAGAUGCUAGGAGGAGGAGAAAACUUGAGGAUGCCUCCUAAUCCUUUUGUUUCUGCAGGUCCUAUACAAACAUCACAGGCAGGCAUCCCCAAAAGGCGCCUCCUAGAGUUAGAAGCAAUUGCUGAAUUAGAGUAACAUGUAGAUGUAUACCACAAACCAGUAGUUCAUAGAUGAAUUCAAGCGCAAACAUUUGUUAGUGUAUAAGCCAUGAGCUGAUUACAUUAGUAAUAAUGUCUUGUAUUUAGUUGUGUAUUCACUUGAGUUAUAAAUUACUAAGUGUAGGGCUCAUAUUGUAAUUGUCUAUUGACAUGUAUUUGAAUCCUAGAAUCCAGCUAGAUGUGUGGCUGAGAUCUCUUUGAUGUAAUGGUGAGAAUCCAGCUGCAUAACUAGCCGUUAUGCAGUGCACGAUUUCGCGUGCAAGAGAGAGAAAUAGAAGUAUAUUCCUGUGUGUAUUUUGCAGAGAGAACUAUCCAUCCUUCUCUCAAAUCCUUCGGUGAUUGUUCUUCAUUCUUUCAGUUUUUUUAUACACACACACAUCCAAACUGUAACAACAUUUACGGACGACAGUUCUUUACUAAUUAAAUCACUUUAAAGUAAGAAUUUAAUUAUUAUAACAUUAUUGCACUUUCUUAACAAUUUGAUAUUCACCAAGUUGACGAUGAACAUGUUAGCUCCAUGUUAGAACACAUUGGGUUCGAUUUAUUUUCUUGAAUAUCACCCAGUCACAGACGUCUCUUGUGGGCAUAGAGAAGGCCUGAGAAGCAAUUGCAGACAUUCAACAUCUCUUCAAGCAUUUCGAUGACUUUGUACAUCGAAGGGCCAUCACUUGGUUUCAUUUGAAUACACCACAAUGUGGUUAUAAUUAACCAUCUUUCUCUUCCUCCUCUGUAACUCAUUUUCAGACACCAACCGUUAGAUUUCACUUCAUAUUUAUACGACUUUAGGCCUUAACGACUAUACAUAGCACUGCCAUUGUUGAAAAGGUCUAGCGGUUUUAUCUAUUUUACUGUAACAUGUUUUGUGAGGUUGAAUUCUGUAACACUAUAUUUUUUACCUGGAAACUAUGUAUACGUAUCACUUAUCUUGCUGUAUAGCAUGUCAUCCCCACCCAAGUUUUUCUCUUCACAUUUAGUAUGGAAUACCAAAAUUUUCCUAACAAAGCCAAUUAAUUCAUAUGCAAAAAUAAUUAUUCGGCCGCCCUUUACUUCGAAUGUUAGUCAGAUGAAGCAAUAUGAAUCAUAAACUAAACACAAUAGUUUGGGAUGUAGAUGGACGUGCAUGGGUGCUUGGUGAAUCAAGAAACUUAAUGGAUCUUGGAUACCAAUGGUCAACACGCAUACAAUAUAAGUUAGGAAUGAAGAUUGUCGUAUCAGUUGGCUAUACCAAAAGAGUUUUUGGUAUCUUCAGGAUUAUUCUUUCAUAGAAAUUUGCAAAGAUGAGAAAGUUGAACUAAUCAAAUUUUAACAAGUUUGAAAAAUCAACUAGUUAUAUAUAAGAGGAUCAUGAUUGAUGUGUUACGUUGAUUUGAAGAACGGUCUUAAAGUUAUGGAGUGAGACAUUCAUUUAAAAUCAACUAUUUAUAUAUAAGAGGAUCUUGAUUGAUGUGUUACGUUGAUUUGAAGAACGGUCUCGAAGUUAUGGAGUGAGACAUUCAUUUAAAAUUAGCAAAAGAAUGUAACAAUUAGAAAAAGGGUUGUCUAAAUGGUGGGGUACUUUUACUUUUUAAGUUUUUAAGGAACAAAAGUGGCAGGUUCCAAGUUAAAAUAAUGCAAUUUUCACACAAUUAUGACAAAGAAAGAAGUCUUACUUUGUAAGCGAUAGAGAUUCUUACGUAUGACUUAUGACACCCCACACUUUUUCUACGACAAGUGGGCCUUGGUGGUACAAAAUUACAAGUGGGAUUUGUGUGUGUAGCCGAUCUAGAGGUCAUACACCAGAUUAAGAUUUCCUCCGUUACGUAACUCCAUGAGUCCCAUAAAUUCAUAUUGGUUUGUACCAGUUCAAUGACACUUCAACGUCUGACUAAUGUUGUAAGAGGUUUGCGACAGCCAAAUGUCAACAGUAUGAGAUAACUUAAAACACAUAUGAAAGAAAUUUUUUAUAUUUUAUUUUACUUUUUUACUGGUGUGACGAAAUGUAUGUCAAAACAACGAGAAAUCAAACUAUUCUAUUUCUGUAAAAAUACCCAAAUAUGAAUGAAAUCAAUUACAAUCGAAGACUUAUAUAUAACCAAAACAUUGCUUUUAUACUAAAAGGUAUUUGUGUCGAUUGAAAUGACUUUUUGGCUACAUAUGAUAUUUUUUUAUAAAAACUGAUAUUUUUAAAAUUACGGGUCGAUUUUUUCUUAUAUUUGAUAAAUACUUGCGUCCAUGUGCCAUGAACAUCUUUCUCAUAUGUUGGGAGUCACCGGAUAUGCAGAAUCAAUUAGGAAACGUUUAAUUAAGAAGAUAAAGAGGUCCCAUAAUUAAUUCCGAAGUAUUGAGCAGCUCACGUGCAAGAAAAGUUUGGGUUUUCCAUGUGCAGGAGGUGGAAUUUGCCUAUGUGUCCCGUGCAACAGAGUAACCUUAACAUCCUGAACGACAUCAGAAGGGUACUCGUUUAAAAAAAUGUACUUUGAGUCGAGGACCCUCCAAAUAUCGUUCAGGAUGUUUUCCUACAAGAUCUUAAGUAUAUUCCUUCUAAGUUCCUAUUAUCAUUUCCACUUAAUAAAAAAAUAAAAACUUCUUAAAUGACCUGAUGAAGGUACUCAACAGGAGAAAAUUGAAGCAAUAAUCCCUGAACUCAAAACUCGUGAGUAUUGAUUUCUAAACUUAUUAUAAUGUGGAACAAUGAUCAUUUUAGCUAGUCCCUCUAAACCCUUUAUUUUGAAAGGAAGUUCUAACAUAGUUAGCAAAAAGAAUCAUUGCUUCACAUUACCUCACGGAUUGUUAGUUUAGGAACUAAAGCUCUGAUUAAUCUAAAGUUCAGGGACCACUACUUCAGUUACCUCGGUGAACAAAAUCAUCCCAAAAAUUCAAAACUUCAUGCAGAAACCACAACAAAAAAUAGAUUAGGAGUCCAAUACCAAGACAAACAAUUCAUCUAUAAAAUUUAAGGGAAGUGAUUUUCACACAAUUUUUCUUCCAUUGCACAACUAUGUUUAUUUCUAGCCGUAGAAUCAAUGGACAUAAAUAAACCGACUGCGCAGAAGGAUACGAGAGUGUGAAAAUCAUUUCCCAAGUUUAAUCAUUUAACAGAAACCCAUUCCCACCCAAACACAGGACAUGUAUAUCACUACAUCUAAUACAACCAUAGCACCAGUAACACAUAAAAUUCAUAAGGAUCAACUACGUUUAGUCAAAACUAUCGAAAACUUAGCAGGCUUAAAAUGUUUUAUUACAUACGAAACCAUUAGGCAAUUCUUCAAUAUUCAUUCCAGCAGAGAAUAAGCAAAUCAACCAAAAGCAAACAAACAAAUCACUAAGAAACAGUAUGCGAUGCAAGCUGAAUUUUGAAUGAGAUCCUAUUUACAUUACCCGCAGCAUAACAUAUAUAAGUUUCAUCAUAAAUGUGGAACUUUAUGAACCAAAGUAAGCCACGAACAUGAUACGAGCAGAAAAUGACACUCUCAACAGACUCAAUGGAACUGAUUGGGAUCUGGGAAACGGGUGGGGUGGGGUUCUGGAUUUUGAGAGCACGGAGCUCUUCAAGCACUGUCUGUUGGAAGUCUUCCUGUCGAGAACGGUGGAUUGACAGAUCGGUGAUAGAGUGUUGCAGGUCAGCUAUGUGGUGUUGAAGAUCGUCGUGACGGAGAUUCAUCAUAGUUAGUGUCUCAUGGAAUUCCUGGAGCUGUGUGAAAAUUUGCUGCUGGUGAAAUUCCCUUUCAAAUUCCGCCUCAGGGACGUCGGCCACCUGCACUGACGCCUUGUUCUUGCCUAUGGAAGCACAACCUGGCUCUUGAUACCAAAUGGUAGGUACCAAUCACACAGAGGAAAGGGAAAUAGGAAUAAAAGAGAAAAGCAGAGAAAGAUAAAAGACUAAUUCAUUUCAUAAAACCAAAAGGGAGAUACAGAAGAGGCAUAUAUCUCCAUUAGCCCAAAACAGACAAAAGAGAACAGUGCUGAGUCACCAGCCAACAACCAUUACAAAUAUCAUAAAGGGCAAUAAAGAUAAAGUAUUAAGGUCCUGAUAAGGUUCCAACACUGACCCUGCGCACUAACCCAUUAAUAAUCCCAAAAAAAUGCACACAGCCAUGCUUUCUCCUCUCUCUGUCUAUCUCUUCUCCCUAUCCAUCUCUCUAUAAAAUCACAAAUCCCCCAAAACCGGACCUAACAUACUAACCAAUCAGAAAAUCCAAGGCAACAUUAAAGAAUACAAUUUAAAAAAGAAACUUAUCUUUGGAUUUGAGGCAUGCAGCGCAAGAUCCGGCACACCCCACUCUCAGUAGGGUUUGUUGAUGACCCCUACCCCAUCUCCCUGAAAUCCCGACGACCCAUAUGGUCUUCUCUGACCAUACCCACCCUCUCAUCUGCAUCAACAGUGUCGAGACCCCUACCCCUCCCCCUCGCUCUCCUUCCAUUGCCAUCUCUCUCUCUCUCUCUCUCUCUCUCUCUCGCAGACCCUCCCCGAAACCCUAAUUGAACGGCAGCAAAUGAUAGUUUCCCGCUGACCCCCUAUCUCACCCAAAGCAGAGAGGACAAAAUUGCCUUCCAUAAUAGACCAUCUCCACCAUUGGAUUGUAAUCCUUGAUGGCAAAAACGUAAUUAAAUAAUUUGGACCUUACUGAGGGUCGGGCUUCCCAACUAAAGCCAACAUAUCGGGCUGCUGACCCAAAACCAACAGAAAUACCAAUGGCAUCGUUGUAAUUAAUCUGAAAUUCGGAUCAAAAUACUAUUCAUUUCUAUAGUGCCAAUUCCAAACCUUUCUUUAGACUAAAGUAAAGUAAUAACCGAUUAAAAUUGGAAUAAACCAGUCAAAACUCAUCACUAGCACAAGUAUCUGGUUGAAGUAAUAUAUACGAAUUAGAAGAUAUUCUUCAGUUGAAAUGGGGAAGUAGAAACUUCAAUUACAUUACACAGACUUUAACAUUAGCUGAUACACAAUCAAUCCAACUUCCAACAGAUACGCUAUCAUCUUCACAAAUUGUAGGACAAGAAAACAUAACAGACUCGUUCCAAGACUUCAUCACUGCAGAUUCAAUGCAAGAAUUGAAACAAAAGCUUCCCCGAAAACAAGAACUGGCGAACAAGACAUCAUCAAGGCAGAUUUUAAAAUGCUCCAUAUUCAUGAAAAAUUUAAAGAAGAUGCAUGGGUCAAACCUAAAACCUCUCACUUACAAGUGAAGAGGAAUACCACUAGACCAUAGUACUAAGUGGCUAGGUGAAUGGACCAAACCGUCAUUCUCCAAGAAAAGGGAGGGACCUUUUUGUACAACCAAAAACUUCUCUACAUAUUUAUCCUUGGAAUGUAUAUGCUUUUAUCAAAAGACCGCACUUGGCAUGCAUAGUUCAUUCAUUUGGCACCAAGGCCCCAUGUUUAUGCGCACGCAAAAGCGCACACAUGCACUGUUCCAUACUUCGACUCGGAAAACAAGUACUGCAACAUUACAAAUAAUCAUACAAAAAUAAACUCAACUUUCAAAUUGUUAGCCUAAAACUUUUAUUCAACACACCAAUAAGCGUAUACGUUUUCCAUAACCAGAAGUAGAGGGGAAUGAGUAGUCUGUCAUACACCGAGCAAUAACAAAGAAACCGAUGAACUUGACUAACUUCUGCAGUCUCAUAACCAAUCUGGAAGGAAAACAAGCGAUGAAUAGAAAAGGUCACUUUGCUAAUAACUUAAUUUGUAUAGAAAAUAACAAUAGAGGGGACAAAAAGGUUAGCUCGUUGAAAACCAUACUAAGCAUCCACUCUAGUAAAGCAUGAACUAGUACUAACAGAAAGUAGAGUCGUAAAUUCCAACAGUGAACAGAAAGAGAACUAUGGAAACUUAUUAUGGGAGGUUCUGUCAGUCUGGAUAAAUCAGAAAGUACGUAAACGAAAAACCAAGAGCAGAUUACACCGAAUUGCCAAAGCAGCAAAUUAACAAGAUUAAGAAAAACAGAUCAGAGAGGACAGGCAGAAAUAGAUAAGGAUACACUAUGUUUUAAUUAUAAGUCCUACUUCUGAUACUGCAAAUAUUGUUCGUCUUCACAUGAUAACUAGCACUAUCUCUAGACAGACAGCGUUACCCCGUUAAUCUAUAUAGUGUAAUAUAUCCAUGCAUACCUCUGUUAUCAAAUGGUAUGAGCAAUUAAUGCAACCUUCACCGAGAAGGCCAAACACUAGCCACUGAAUUUACAGAUAUGAAAAUAAUACACCUAAGUAAUUAUUCCUGGAAAUGAGCUACCAAAGAAAAACUGAUUUAUGCUUAAAAUAGAUCAUCUAUGGAUAAAAAGUAAGGCUGACUAAAAGGAAGUCAUCUAACAGCACUCAGCACAUCAGCCGCCAUAACAUUAUAAAGCCACUGUCGAAUUCUAGAGACCUCUUCAAGGUACUUCUUGGAGCCAGAGAUAAAAAAAAUCAAAAGGGGCGAGGGGACAAGAAUUCCUUCAUUUCUAAACGAAAUUUGAGUAACGUUGACACUACUAAAUGAUUCAAGAAAACUGAGUUCUAGUGUAAACAGGAAAUUGUCUUUCAAAAGGUCCACCAGGGUGCCAUUGAAUAGACAAACCAAUAAGUUCAACCUUUGUUUCGUCCAAGCACAAAAUUCUCUCUAGAAAUACAUCGCCCAUAUUCUUAAUGAUCCACGGAAACUAUGAGUCGUUGGUACAGGGACGUUUUUCCUAAAUCCACAGAAUUAAAUUCCUCCUCUUCAUAACCCUUCUCCUUUGAAAAAUUCCAUACAGAUUGCUAAGUCUAGUGUUUUUGGAAGCAGAAGCCAUUUUAUUGUUUUAAAAGAAGCAUUUGCAAAAGAAACUUAUUUAUCACAUUCGCAUACAGUUUCUUCCUCUAUUUUUCCUGAAAGUUAAUUAUUGAGCUUCAAAGCUCUUCUCUGUUUCGGGCCACUGCUUCCUUUCUUCUAAUCAGAACAUAUUUCCAAUUCCAUCGUUUUCAAACACCACAACAAACUUCUAGAAAUGGUGACAACUGCCAUCCAAGACGGCCAAUUUUCGAGCUUUUAUAGACAAGCUCUCGGCAUUGCUGGCAACAGGCUUAGCAAAGAAUUCUAAGCUGUUGUAUCAAACAAUUCCAUAUAAUCUCAUCCACAUUGACAUUUUUAAGAGUCUGACACUCACAACCGAAACUUCUACAACUCAAAAACUUAGCUUCUUGAUAAUUACCAAGGUUUUCAUUUCCCAGUUAAAUAUUUUCGCCAUUUCCUCAGAGCAUCAAAUCUCUUGCACAGCACUAACGUUCCAAUUCCGUAAGAAACCCAUUUCGGUAACAAAGAAAUGACACAUAAAUAUUCAAAAAAAUUGCAAAAACAUAAAAAUUAACAGACCUGAAUGACGGAAUACGCACAAUUUCGAUUUCAUGACGAAACCCAUUUCUGAAAGCGAAGAAAUUGCGAACAAAAAAAAGAGAAAACAAUGGAAACGAAGAGCUUGGAGGCGCACCGUUUUGGGAGGCUACCAAGACGCUUUCUUCACGCCAUUGAGCAUGCCUUUGGAGGCAAGAGAACGGAAAACGAUACGGGACAUACGGAAGGUCUCGUAGACGGCGCGUGCGCGGCCAGAGAAGAUGCAGCGGUUCCUAACGCGCGUGAAGGAGCUGUUCCGGGGCAGCUUGGAGAGCUUGAAGCGGUUCUCCUCGCGCAGAUCGCUGGGAAGGCUUGGGUCCUUGCAGAGGGCCUUGUACAGGUUCCGUCUCAGCUCGUAUUUCGCCGCCAGCAAGCGGCGGUGGUGGUCCCGUAUGUUGGCAUUUUCCUCAGACACUGACAUCCCUUUUUUGGGUCGAAUACUUACCCGCACUCUCUGAUUUUGGUUGAUGUCGGGUCCUAGGGUUUUAAGCUUUGCAGACCCGUCUAACCGGGUCGGAUUUUGACGACUGGCUUUUUCUGAAACGAAUAGUAGCAGCCCGGGUAAAAAGAUUGGAGAAAUGUUGGCAGCACUCGCCUAAAAAGCGAGUCCGCAGGACUCUUCCUUAGGGCUGGGCACGGGCCGGGCCGGGCCGAGCAUUACAAUUCUGAAAAUAGGAACCGGACCUUACCCGGUCAGGUUGAAACGGCCCGGUUCGGUCCGGAUACACGGGUCAUUUUUUUUUUCCUGUUUAAAAAUGUUUGCUGCACACAGAUUGCAGUUUGAAAAAACUGCAUAGAUUGCAGUUUUUACACAGAACAGAUUUCACAUAUUGCAGUUUGAAAAAACUGCACAAAUUCCAUAAAUUUCACAGAUUUCACAAAUUGCAGUUUGAAAAAACUGCACAAAUUGCAGUUUCUCAAACUGCACAGAUUGCAAUUAAAAACUGCACAGAUUGCACUUUUUUACUGCACAAAUUGCAGUUUGGAUUUUGCAGUGCACAAAUUUUAGAUUUUAGAUUUAAGUGUAAGAAAAAGUUAUAGAUUUUAGAUUUAUCGGUGUCAAAUUAAAAAAUACGAGCAAAGAAGCUACAGAAACCAUUAUAGUUAAGUAUAGUAAUUCUUUAGUAGCCCAGACGCGUAAACAAUCAUAUCAUAGAAACUUGCUAAUAAACAACACAAUGAAUCAAAACCAUUGAUACAACUCACAAACGUAAUCUUUAAUGUUCACUCUAAAUACACUAAAAAAUUCUGCUCUUUAUACAAAAAUCAAAUUUGUCAAUGUUGUGGAAUUGUAACAAACAAUUAGUUAUGCAAUCUAAACUUGCCAAUUAAUUAAAAAUCGCAGAUUAGGCAAGGGAAAAUGUAAUAAUCAGCCAAUUCGAUAACGGUAUUUAACCGGCUUGAAACUGUUUACCAAUCAACACCAGAAACCCCACAAUUAUGCUUCUGGAUAGAUGCUGCAAAUCACUAACAUUUUACGGUUCUCAUAUCCCAAAAACCGAAAAGGCUAAUUCCGAUUCUUUUUCCGUUCUCUCAUUUUCCUGCAUUUUCUCAGCAACCAAACACUGCCUAACGGCAUUCCAAAAAUUACACAAAAACAAUUUGACAUUUCUCAAGUUGCACAAUCCCAAUUUUGCCCAAAUGAGAAAUCAGAUGAAUUUUCGAUAGAAAAUGACGAAACAGAGAGAGAUACUUACAUGCUAGAACGGCAAAGAUGAUGGCCCAAGGUUUGUGCAGGGGAAACAACGCCGUAUUGUGGUUCUCUGACUCGCUAGGGUUUCGAAGUGUGAGGAGUGGGGAAGGUGUGCAUAGAGAGACUUCCAGUUCCUACUUCCUAGAGGUUUAUGGCGCGCUUGAUUUCCUCAAUUUUACGGCGGAGGUGGUGAUGGGGGGUGAUGAUGUUGGUCGCGACUCGCAACAGCGCUGUGAGAGUGGUGAGGUGAGCACUGUGAGUCGGAGUCGAGGGAAGGGAUAAGGAGAGGGAUUCGAGGGAGAGGGAUAGGGAAAGGGACUCAGGGAGAUGGAGUCGAGGGAGAGUUUGAGUCUCUGAGAAUCCGAGAGACUGAGGUCUGAGGUUGCUGAGGCUGAGGAUGCUUCUGGAACUCGGGACUCGGGGAAGGUUGGCUAGGGUUGAAAGUUGAAAACUUGAACUGACGGUUGAGAUUGGAUGGAGAGAUGAUAUUAAAUCUCGUCCGUCCAAUCUAACACAAAUGAGCCGAUCCGGGUACCCGCGGAUCCUAUAAUUUUGGAACGGGCCCGUCCCUAAAACUUCAAUUACCCGCCCCGCCCCGCCCCGAUCUAUUUUUACAAAACUAAGAACCGGCCCGUACCCGCCCCUACCUGCGGGUCCAGGACCCGUUUGCCUAGCCCUACUCUCCCUCCAGCACCUCCACAUGUAUUUCCUCUUCCUCGGUUAAGCUUUAAUUAGUUCCAUAAUUUUUUUUAUUUUUUUAAAACGAUAUUAUUUACCUUAACAGGUACGAAGUGGGACUAAGUUUCACAAUGACUUAGUAAUAAUGUGAUUAGAAUUCUUUUUUAGUGAAUAUCGAACAUAAAGCCUCUCACGUCAACUGAAGAGAAAUAUUACUAAACUAUAUACUAAUUGCAUAUUGAUUUCACAAUUAAAUAACAACUAAAAAUAAUAUCCCUCUCUCUGUCUUACUCUUAGACCACGAAAUUGGUAUUCGUGGAUCAUAGGAAAACUGGAUUAAACUAAAAAGCAGCUUAUGUUUUUAGACUCCGAUCUAAUUGCCUAAAAAAUAACGUACAAUUUAAAAUGAAUAGCUGUUUCCACUCGUAAUUGCACUGCUUUUAUUAUAAAACUUCCUCACAUGUCGUGAUGUGCAAAACUCCAAGAUUUCCAUCAGCAACGCCAGUCACUUCUGCAUGCACGUAAUAGAGUAUGAGUUAUGCCUUGUACACUCCGUUGAAUUAGGCUAAUGAGAAUAUGAGAUUGUUGAGGUGGUAACCCACAACACCUCGUUUAGGUUUUGUUGAACUAAAUCCUUUCUAAGUUCAAAGUGGAGUUGUGCCUCACGUGUGGUUGGGAGAAAUUAGAAAAACUCUAGUAUCCCACAGGCCUUUAGCUUCACACCGAAAGUGCUUUGGAUGAUAUUAUGUAUUUGCACGUAAGAUGUAAAGAGUGGAAUAUAAGUAGAAAAUGUGAGUGUAUAUAGAAAAUGUAAAGUGUAUGUUAAUAGUGUGGGGUGUGAGGGUAUUGUGGAGAAAUAUAUAGGGUGUAUUAAGAUAAUUUUUAACUAAAAAAACAAAUGUGGGAUGUAUUAAGUAUGUGGGAGGGGUGUAUUCAAUAAUAUGUGUGGUGUUAAUAUAACAAGUCAUCAAAUAAUAUGUUACUGAUAGAAAAUAAGCACAUUAAUAACACUUAAGUAUCAAUCCAAUUAUCAACGAUAAUAUCAUUUGGUUUAAAAUUUUGAUUUCCCUAAUAUUACCCUAUUUUUUAGCAAAAUCUUUUUACAAAAACAAAAUAUAAUUAUUAACUAACAGUAGGAAAAUAAAACUUAAUAGUAGUUUGAUGAAUCUUUUACCAUCUUGAUGAUCACCGUUUCACCUAGCUGAUAAACUCCACGUUAUCUCGCCGUUAGAAGAUUUUGGGUUCAAACUACCUUGAAUAUCGACUCCCGGCAUUUCUUGUUGGUUAAGAAAAGGUUUGGGGGGCAAUUUUAGGUUUUCAACAUCUCCUCCAAGCAUUUGUAUGACUUUGUCCAUCGAAGGGCGAUCACUUGGCUUCAUUUGAAUACACCAGAAAGCAGUCAUAACCAUCUUUUUUAUCAUUAUCUUUUCCUCCUCUGUAACAAUGCCCAUCUCCAAGAGAUCAUUUCCCUCACUAUAUUGAUCGUAAGCCCAUAACGGGAAGUAAUGUUGGCUCGACUGCUCUGCGACUGUACUAAAAUUCUUCCUUCUACUUGCCAUUUCCAUCAACAACAUUCCAAAACUAUAGACAUCAGCUUUGUAUGAGACCCCUCCAAUAUUUUUGUAGAACAACUCUGGAGCAAUAUAUCCGAUUGUCCCUCUUGCUGCCGUCAAAGUAACUAUGCUAUUGUCUACGGGAUAUAAUUUUGCAAGCCCAAAAUCAGAGAUCUUCGGGUGAAAGUUCUCGUCAAGAAGAAUGUUAUGAGGCUUGAUAUCAAAAUGUAGAAUUUGCAUGUCAACCUUGAUGUAGAUAUUCGAUCCCUCGAGCAACUCCAAAAGCAAUCUCAUACAUCUUCUUGCAACUUAAAGGGAUACUUCCUUCUUUGGAAUAAAUGUAUUUAUCAAGAGAGCUAUUAGGCAUGAAAUCGUACACUAGAGCGCGCUUUGAUCCUUCAACACAAUAACCAACAAGUUGCACCACAUUAACAUGGUGAAUUCUUCCAAUAGUAGCUACCUCACUAGUGAAGUCCUGCCCAUUGUUUUUAGGCUGGCCCAAAAGUUUAAUUGCCACAAAACGACCGCUGCGUAACUUUCCUUUAAAUACAGAACCAUAACCGCCUUGGCCCAGCUUGUCCUUGAAUUUAUUAGUCAUUCUCUUAAUGUCCGAGUAAGAGUACCUUAUUGGCAUGAAGUUGUUUUCGGUUUGCAGAAAAUCUUCGAUGAUGCUAAACCCCGACAAAUGUCUUCUUCGCCAUCUAUAGAUCAGAAAUGCAAUCAGAAAUGGAACCCCUAAAAGUAGUCUUCCUACUAAAUACAAACCUGCACAAGAGAUUUAUCAUCACCAAAAGAGUCCAGAUAAAGGAAAUUGAAAGAGAGAACAAUUACAAGCUUACCGAGGCACAUGAGUAUCGCCCAUCCAGGUCCUGCAACAAAUAGGGCAACAGUACGAAUUGUCAAAAGCUUGAGCAUAAGUUAUGAAAGUGUCUCAAAUGAAUAAAAUCAAGGACUUGAGAUAUUAUAUGCAAGAAAUACAAGUUCUUACUGAAGGAUAUCCCCGGAAACCAUAGAGGAUUAUCUGCAAGAAAUGUAAAAUACAAAGUUUGAGAUGUGCAAGCCCAAAUAAAUGAUGGUAAAAACGAGCAAAAAAACAAGGAAAACUGAGUUUAAUGGGACUGCUCUAGCAAAAGACUUGUAGCUUAGUUGGUUAAGCACAUUCAUCAUUUCGCUAGAGAUAGCGAGCAUGAUUUUUUCCUCUCCCAAAUAUUAUUUGUGUAAAAGAAAAGAAAAUUGUGACUGUUCCUUGGAUUGACAAUUGUCGUUUAAACAAAAAGAAGAAAAGAAACAAGAAAUGAAAGAAACUUUUGGAGAGAACGUUCUUACUAACGUAUAAUCUUCCAUGAGCAAAGAAACCUACAGAGAUGAAAUCAUGAAAAAAAAACAUUAGUCCACAUUUAAAAUCAAGUUCUGACACAUACUCACCAAGAAAUGGUGUUUGGUGCAUUUUACAUUUUUAUUGUCCAGAUUUUUGUAUGAUAUGUACAGAAAAUCCAAAAGAGUUGUUUUAUUUACACCCGCCUCAUUGUUGAAUACACCCCACAUACUUAAUACACCUCAUAUUUACUUUUUCAAUUACAACUUAUCUUAGUGCACCCCACGUACUUUCCUAUAAUACCCUCAAACCCCACACUCUCUACGUACACCUCACACUCCCUACACCCCACGUAUCCACAUCCUAGGUGCAGCCUCAGUGUCCCAUGGAGAAGCAUCGCCUUACGAUCCUAUUUAAGUAUACAAAAAUUGGUAAAUUUGGAUAACUAGACAAAAAUUGGUACCCGUCAACCAGAACCCUCACAGAUUAUCUUCGAAUAACAUGAAUUUAUUACCUCCGAAUAACAAAAACUUGCCGCAAUCGAGUUUGUGAUUUGUAAUACAUUCAUUUUGUGAUCAGGUGUUUUUUUGAAUGGGUGGUUCUUACUGCCUUAGCAAUGAUAAAGGUAAGCAGGAUUAGUUUUCCAUAACUAGUCAUAGAAGUACUGAACUAAACAAUUUAGGUUCCAUAACCAGUCAAAAACUAUUUUUGUUGAUAAAGAAAAUCUGCACUCACCAAUAUUUGGUUACAUAUAGAAGGCCCUAAUUUGCAUAAUAAUGUCGUUGAAAUCACUAAAACAAUGAAAAAUCAUAAGGUCUUACUUUAUGUGUCAAUGGUGUAUUUAGAAGUUUCAUUUAAAAUUAAAAAAAAAACUUAUAAGGCCUAAAAUAGUCAUUGCAUAUUAGAGUACAUAGUUAUUUAAUAAUGAAUCUUAAUAUGGGGUUUCUGAUUGUGUUUGGUUAAAAACUUAAAGUGUUUGGUUAAAAACUUAAAGUGUUUUUGACUUAUAGAAGCACAAUUUGAAGAAACAUCAUUGGGAGGAAGUGCUUCUUAGAAAUUGCACUUGGAUUUUUAAUUAAAAUUUCAACAUGUUUAUAAUAAAAGAACUUUUAGCAGAAGUUCUUCUGAAAGAAAUCAAUACCAACGUUAUUUUUAUAUUAAGUCAUGUAACCAGUAAUGAUCUGUUUGGUAUUGCUUUCUUUCAAAAGCAUUUCUGCUCAACUUGUGUAAAAAACGUUUUUCGUUAUAAAUAUGUUGAAAUUUUUUCUGACAAAUCCAAUCGAUUUUUCGAAGAAGAGCUUAAAGUGCUUUCUGAAUAUGCAUUGAUAGAUUUAUGGAUGCUAGCUUCUCCAACUAGUGCUUAUAUGAGCGAAAAGAACUUUAAUGUUUUCUGUCAAAGGCAAUUGGAAGUGAUUUUUACCUUUCAAGAGCAAUCCAAAUAUGCCCUUGUUCAAAUAUAAUUAACUAUUUCCUAAAAGGGUUACCUGUUGUUGUGAACUCAGAAGCUGUAACAGAAUAACAUUGAAUUAAAAAAAAGAAGAGGGAGAUUAAUUUUUGAGACGAACUCCCUUACCGUAAAUCACCUCCCACAGAUAUCGAAAGAAACCUACAGGGACAAAGAAGAAGACAACGUUAGCAAUUCAGCACACAAAGUUGGAAGAGUUUUUCUAAAAUUGUACAGGUUGUUUUUCUGUUGUCAUUGUGCACGCCCAAGUCCUGUGUUUAUCUGCAUUUCUAAAUCAAACAUUGCCUUUGUGCCUGUUGAUCCAUAUUUCUACGUAGUUCCAUUUGUGUGUGUGUGUGUGUGUUUAGAGACUAAAAUUUAAAACUCAUGCAUGAAGUUAAUGCUUUUGAGCUUCAUUUUCAGUUUUUGUUUUCAUUUUUUUGAAAAUUGAAAACUAAAAACAGUUAAUAGCAAGGUUCUAAAAGACGCUUGGCGCUAGUUGGGCGGCAGGCUGGGGCCUAGCGCCUAAGUGGAUGCCUAGGCGGAUUUAAGUAAAUUUAUUAUAUUUUGUGUAAAUAAGUGUUUGCUUAUAAUAUAUAUAUAUAAUUUCAUUAUAGACUACAAAAUAAAAUGACAUAUAUAUUAUUAAGUAAUAGAACAUAAUAAAAACAUGCGGAACAAUCUCAUAAUGUGUGUUCAUUUAAGUAUGUAACAAGCCUCUUACAAUUUAUUGAAAAAAAAUGCAAAAUGAAAGUUAUCUAUUUUCUAAGUGAGUCACGACCUAGGCAGUGCUUUAGCAGGUAUAAGCGUCAUUUCUUAAUUUUUAAACGCCUAUUCAUUAAUCGGGAAUGUGGCCAGCCGUCUAGCACUUAGACGGGGCCUAGGUGGCGCUAGGCGAAUAUUUUUAGAACAGUGGUUAAUGGUUAUCAAACCUCUUAACAACCUAGAUAUAGUAAAAAGGUUGGAACUAAUUUUUAGGGGUUUUUGAACCUUAAUCUUGAAGAAGAUUAAAACUUAAUAAAAACCUAGUGUUAGAUUGAAUAUUGAUUUUAGUCAUUUAAUGUGUACUUAAUUCAAAUCAGCAAGAGGUGCUGUUGAUUCUUCAGCAACCAAGUCCCGUUCAAAACAAAAUUAGAUAUCUUAUUUAAUGUCAUUAUAUUAAAUUUUAAAUUUAUUAUUAUACACAUAUUAAUUCAUUAAUUUUAUUUAACUUUCUCUAAUUAGUGUACCUAAGCAUCCGUAUCAUAAUAUAUUUUACUAAAUUAGUGUACCGAAAUAUCCAUACCUAAAUAUAUUGUAGUAAAUUAGUGGCACAUAAGAAAAUAUGUAAAAACAUAAGUGUACCGAAAAUUCUGUACCUAAAUAUAUGAUACUAAAAUAGUGUACUGAAAUGUCGGUACCUAAUUAUAUUAUACUAAACUAAUGUACCGAAAUAUACCUAAACACAUUAUACUAAUCUAGUAUACAUAAAUAUUCAUACCUAAAUAUAUUGUAAUGAAUUAGUGCCACAUAAGAAAAUAUGCAAAAACAUAAGUGUACCAAAAUAUCUCUAUGAAAAUAUUUUCUUAUAUAAGAUACUUACUAUAAUGAGAAUUAAAAUUUAUUACAUAAAAUUCAAAAAAAAAAAAAAAAGAAGAGAUACUUCGAAUUGUUAAUUCACCAUCAGAGAUGGCUUAGAACCAAUAGCUCAUUAUCUAAUGGAUUUUUUUGUUCUAAUACUUCAUACAAUUAUAAAAAAAAUAAAAAAAGUAAUAAAUUGAAUAUAUAUGAUGACAUUAAAUAGGGUCUAUGAACUAAAAUCAAAUUUUUAAUUUUGUAUAAGAUAUUUUUCUAAACUUCAUCUUAUUUAAGAAUUAAAAUCUAGUAAUAUAUAUAUAUAUAACAACUCAAACUUUCGGAUUGGUCUUUAUAUUCUAUGAGAAUUCACGCACCUGGGAUGCUGUGUGGAAAACAUUUAAGAUUUUCUUCCAUUGGCCUUGGCAGAUUGGACCCAGUUCAUCAACACCAUAUACUCGAAGCUCAAAUCCAUACAUGAGCGCCUUGUAUAUGUUUUCAUAAGAGGUGUUGUAGUCCUUGAACCUCGGGAGCGCCAAAGCCAUCCACUCUGGACUGCAACCCUCAUCCAAAUCCCCUACUUCCAUAAACCCGAACUUGGCGUAGCCAUACGUUUUUGGUUGGCUCGAAGAAGAAGCACUUGUAUUAAAGCAUGGAGCAGUGUCCACAUACAGAGAAGAAUUCACUGGAUUCGAACACCUCAAAUAAAAUAUAGCUGUUGAAAUGAUUGAAUCCGUUGUAUGACCAGCAUACAAACUAUAUGGUGGAUAUGUAGAAGGCACAGGAGGAAAAUUUCGAGACAUGGAGGAGCAAUUGUUGUUCUGAAGGCCAGGAUCUACGAUGCGGAUUGUGUGGUUAUCAUAGUUGAUUGCCUGGACAUGGUAUUUUCCGGAAGGAGGUAGGUCUACUACUGUAAUGUUGUUCUCACAAGACAGCGUAUACAGGACGUGGCCGCAGUGCUUUGGACCAUUUUUUAGUCGAAAAGGGUAGCUUAUGUUGUGAAUAUUGCCGCAGGAGAAGGUACAGUUUGUAUUAUCAUCCUUUGCGCUGCAAGUUUCACCGGAUAAGCCAACGACAAGAAAAGCGAUAAUCAAUAGCCAAGCAGACCAAGUGAAGGACCUGCUUCCCCUUAUUCCCAUGGAGGGAGAGGGAGAGAGAGAGAGAGAGAUCACAGAGAGAGAGAGGGUUUGAUAAUCAAACUAGCUUUCCUACAUAUGUGAUGGUAAUUGGAGAAGAUGUAAGAGCACAUUCCCUGAAUUUUCAAAUUUCAUAUUGAAUGACAUUAAAAAAAAAGAAGGGAGACUUUGGAUACGGUCCCUAGUUAUGAACAAUCUUUGACUGAAACCUUAUUGGUUUUCAAUUUUUGAUCUAAGUCCCUGAAAUUAAUUGAUAAUUUAUUUCUAUGUAUGUUACUAUAUUUUUUAAAUUAAAAAUUAAAAUUUAUGGUUGUUUAUAGUAAUGAGAUUUUAAAUAAAAAACCAUAAUUUGUGGGAUUAAAAAUAUUAAAAUAUAAAUAUACUAUUGUGUGUGUAAACAUGGGUACAUUCAUAAAAAUAACCAAAAAAUUAUUGUAUCAAAACAUGGGUACAUUCUUCAAAAUGGGUACAUUUAGCAAAAAUAAAAAUGGGUACAAAUAAAUAAAAAAAUAUGGGUACAAUACAAAUAAAACUUUAAAAAAAUAUGGGCACAAAAAGAAAUUAAUAUAUGGGUACAAAUUAAAACUGAAAGGAAAAUUGGUACAAAUUAAAAAAGGGUUGCAAAUUAAAAAUGGGUACAAACUAAAAAUAAAAAUAUAUGAUAAAAAAUUUAGCCAUAAAUAUAAAUAUACUAAUUGUAACAUUUUUAAUAUUAAAUGAAUAUAUUUAGAAAUAAAAAAUAUUUUAUUAUUGAAAUAAUUAAUGAUAUUAUUAAUACAAAGGACCUUGAUCAAAAAUUAAAAAGUAAUAAGGUUUUAAUCAAUAGAGUAGUAAAAAUAAGGAUGAAAACCUAAUUACUCCAAAAAAGAAAGUAUUAUUGACACUUCAAAAAUCUCAUUCUACACUCUUCAUCAGUAUAUUUUUCUUUCUAAAUAUAAAAAGUUUGGAACGUAGAAUUGAGAAUUUUGGAAUGCCAAUAACAAUUCUCUUAAAAAAAUAUCCAAAAUAGAAGUCAUGCGUUUACAAAUUAAGUUUUAAAAGUCGUCUAAUUAGGUAAGCGAUGACGAUUAGAGAGUCAGACAAAUGUAUAUAAUACUGCCAUUUCAGCCUGAUUUAUUUGACUUAAUUGUUGAGUGUGAUUUUCUUUCUGUAUUUUAGUCCGAGUUUUCAAAUGAAAUGAUUACACCUUUCGUUUUCUACUUGUAUUCAUUUAUUUUCUUUCAACGCAACACGUAACCACUGUCAAGGCUCCAAUCUUUUGCACGAGUUCAUGUGUAUCGGUCCAUUAAACAUCCCUCAAUACUAGCUCUGCUUAGAAUAAAAUAAAGUCUCUGUAGGCAUUGUAAGCUCAGAGAUGCAGCAAUUGAUCAUCUCUUCCUUUUGCGUAUUAUUGUUAUUGGCCUUCAUCGAAGGGGUCGGGGGAAGCCAAUAUGCGUGCACAGAGUCCAAGUGCGGCGAUGAUCAUGGCCUGGCUAUCCAUUUCCCAUUCCGCCGCGGGCAUCAUUCCGGGGAUAAUAGGAUUGAAUUCAAUGGGAGAUAUGAAACGGUUCUUGACCAGCCAAUAGUGGUAGUAAAAUUCCUUGUCAAAAACAUAGAUUACAAGCAUCAGGAAAUCGAAGUAUAUCACCCAUAUAACUGCCUGCUGUUGAAGCCCUUGGAAAUCACCAAUACGGUAAUCUCUCCCUUCUACUUCACAGGUAGCAUACGUAAUGUUACCUUAUUCCGUUGCCCUAAUCUUGUUGAAAGAGAUAUAUAUGCCUAUCAAGUCCCCUGCCUUGGUGGCCAUGGAGACACAAUUUAUGGCGUCUCUUCUUUCUUUGAAUUAUUUGAAAGCUUCACAGAACUACAGUCUUGUACAAAGAUGUAUGAUGUUUUAUCAGUUCCAUUUGGCGAUUGGGUAAAUGGCAAUGAUAUUCUUCAAUUCAAAUGGUCCAAACCAAAUUGUACAAAAUGUGAAGCAGAGGGCAAGAGGUGUAGAUUGAAGAUCAAUGGCACCAAGAGUGAAAUUGAAUGUGUUCACCAUAGUAAACCAAGUAAGGAAAACAUGUAAAUCUAUAUUUUGCAUACAUUCUGCUCAUGAUUUUUUUCAAAGACAAUGAUCGAUAUACUCUGCUACCAGCUGUGAUUUUUCUCCUUUCAUGUAAUUAGUGGCUUAUCUAUGUGGUGACGAUAUUAAAUUUCGAUAACUGACAGUCUAAUUUUCACAACUAUCUUUUGCAGGCAAAACAAAGACAUUUGUGGCCACAGGUGAGUUGUGUAAGAGUGGUGUUUAGAUUUGUUUCAUGUCCAAAGGACACUCGAGAAUAAAUGUUUACUCAUGGAUUGAAUCUAUCUAUUUGCAGGAGCAACCCUGGGUUCAUUUGUUCUGUUACUAGGGGUCUUUGUAGCAUAUCAUGUCUAUAGCGCUGAUCAAAAGGAAAAAGAGAAUCGAUUAAAACUUGAAACAUUUUUAGCGGACUACAAAGCUCUCAAGCCAAGCAGAUAUUCAUAUGCAGAUAUUAAGAGGAUUACAAAUCAAUUCAAGUACAAGUUAGGCCAAGGAGCCUACGGAACUGUUUUUAAAGGAAAACUUUCUUCUGAAUGCUUUGUUGCUGUGAAGGUACUUAACAAUUCUAAGGGCGAUGGGGAAGAGUUCGUAAAUGAAGUGGGAGCAAUGGGUCAUAUUCACCACGUCAAUGUGGUUCGCUUGGUUGGUUUUUGUGCAGAUGGAUUUAGACGAGCUCUGGUUUACGAGUUCUUUCCCAAUGGUUCACUCCAGGAUUAUAUUUCAUCAGUAGAUAGAAAGAACUCUUUCCUUGGUUGGGAUAAGUUGCAAGAUAUUGCUAUCGGCAUAGCCAAAGGAAUAGAAUAUCUUCACCUGGGAUGCGAUCUACGAAUCCUCCAUUUCGAUAUCAAACCCCACAAUAUUUUGCUAGACCAAAACUUCACACCAAAAAUCUCUGAUUUUGGUCUGGCCAAGUUAUGUUCCAAGGAUCAAAGCAUAGUGUCAAUGACUACAGCAAGGGGGACCAUGGGCUACAUUGCACCCGAAGUGUUUUCCAGGAAUUUUGGAAAUGUGUCUUACAAGGCAGAUGUUUAUAGUUUUGGAAUGCUGCUGCUUGAGAUGAUAGGAGGAAAGAAGAAUAUUGGUUCAACCACAGAGAACACGACCAAUGAAAUUUACUGUCCAGAAUGGAUUUAUAACCUUCUAGAGGAAGGAGAUGACCUACGAAUCCAUAUCGGGGAAGAAGGGGAUGAUAAUAUUCCAAAGCAACUUGCAAUUGUAGGGCUCUGGUGCAUCCAGUGGCACCCGGUGGAUCGUCCUUCCAUGAAAACAGUUGUUCAGAUGCU
rnacentral:lncRNA from 1 species